rnacentral:rRNA from 1 species
GACGAACGCUGGCGGCGUGCCUAAUACAUGCAAGUUGAGCGAUGAAGAUUGGUGCUUGCACCAAUUUGAAGAGCAGCGAGCGGGUGAGUAACGCGUGGGGAAUCUGCCUUUGAGCGGGGGACAACAUUUGGAAACGAAUGCUAAUACCGCAUAACAACUUUAAACAUAAGUUUUAAGUUUGAAAGAUGCAAUUGCAUCACUCAAAGAUGAUCCCGCGUUGUAUUAGCUAGUUGGUGAGGUAAAGGCUCACCAAGGCGAUGAUACAUAGCCGACCUGAGAGGGUGAUCGGCCACAUUGGGACUGAGACACGGCCCAAACUCCUACGGGAGGCAGCAGUAGGGAAUCUUCGGCAAUGGACGAAAGUCUGACCGAGCAACGCCGCGUGAGUGAAGAAGGUUGUCGGAUCGUAAAACUCUGUUGGUAGAGAAGAACGUUGGUGAGAGUGGAAAGCUCAUCAAGUGACGGUAACUACCCAGAAAGGGACGGCUAACUACGUG